UACAGAGGUCCCAAGCGUUGUUCGGAUUCAUUGGGCGUAAAGGAUGCGUAGGUGGCAUGGUAAGUCGGGUGUGAAAUCCCGGGGCUCAACCCCGGAACUGCACUCGAUACUACCGUGCUCGAGUACUGGAGAGGAGACUGGAAUUUACGGUGUAGCAGUGAAAUGCGUAGAUAUCGUAAGGAAGACCGGUGGCGAAGGCUAGUCUCUGGACAGUUACUGACACUGAGGCACGAAGGCCAGGGGAGCAAACGGG
rnacentral:rRNA from 1 species